rnacentral:lncRNA from 1 species
AAAGCGGAGAAGGAGGAGAAGUGUCACAUUGAGGGCAUCAAGGAAGCCAUCAAGAAGAAAGAACAAAAGUUAGAGCAGAUGACCCUAGGGAAAGAUCCCAUCUUCCAGGAGUACCAGAAGGUUCCCCUAGCCUCCAAGAUAAACCGCUGCUAUGACAAGGGGGCAGCAGAGACCCAGCUGCCCCUGCACCAGCAGGGUGGAGUCUACUGAGAACCCAGGAGGAAGAAGGCACAGCCCAGCAGCCAGAGACAUCGUCAUGCAAUUCCGUAAAAAUCCGAUUUUAAUCGAGCAUUGAUUUUUAAAAAAGUAUAUACAGUA